CUUUUUUUUUUUUUUUUUUUUUGCGGUAUGCGGGCCUCUCACUGUUGUGGCCUCUCCCGUUGCGGAGCACAGGCUCUGGACGCGCAGGCUCAGCGGUCAUGGCUCACGGGCCCAGGCAUUCCGCGGCAUGUGGGAUCUUCCCGGACCGGGGCACGAACCCACGUCCCCUGCAUCGGCAGGCGGACUCUCAACCACUGCGCCACCAGGGAAGCCCUGCUUUUUUCAUUCUUAUGUAUUAACAUGCUCUAUAAUAGAAUUUAGGUGCAGAUAACAGGCACUGAUCCAUUUUAAGAGAAUGAGAAUUAAUACAGGGAACUGGGUGCUUACAAAAUUGUUGGAUGAACUGAAGUAAUGGUUCUGGGCUUAGAAUCCAGGAACAACUUCAAGAAUCACCCCACUGAACUGGUUCUCCAGGGGAGCUGCUAACCACUUAAUUCCCCACCUUCCUGGUUGUAGCAAUCGCCACUGAAGUCGUUCACUCCAAGAAUAUGUUAGCUUAUGUACUCUUCAGAGAUCAGGAAGCCAUUGCUGCAACUUCUCAGCUUUGAAACCAUGUCACAUCUGCUCGGUGCAUUCUAACUCAUUUGAGCCCUGCCUCUUGGCUCUUACCAUGCUGGUGACCAGAGCAUGGGUACCUCUGCUACCUCGGCCAUGGGACAAUGCAACUCUUCUGCAGCCACCUUUGCCAACAGAAGCAGCACAAGUUGCAAACAGCCCAUUCUCUCUAUCACUUCCAAUUUCCAGAUCUCAAGUCAGCAAUCUGAUUGCCUGAAUCAAAUCAUAUCCAGAACUCUAGCUGCAAAGGUGUUGGGGUUAGUGUUUAGGUUUUCCCAUUUUUGCAGUAGGAAGGCAUAUUGGAAGGAGGUUGCAAUGGAUAUUGAUUUCCAGGCCAGGUUAUUCAUCAUAAGCCCUAACAGUAAAGAGACCUGGAUCUAACCCUGAUUCAGUCACUUAUUUGCUAUGUGAAGUUAGAAAAGCAUCAUUGCCUUUCUGGGUCUCAGUCUCCAUGACCAAGUUAGAGUGGUUGAUAUCCAAUUUUCUUUCGGAUUCUAAAAUUCUGUGGCUCUAUUAUAAAUUAUUAUACAUUAUAAAUAUUUAAAAUAUUUUCUUAAAUAGGCUCAUUUUGAAAAGAAUUUUCUGUACUUCUUUUUUACAAAGAUUUUAUUUUCCUCAUGAAUACUUGUAAUAAAAUAGGAAGUUCUCUAAGAUGAUUGGAGGGCCCAAGUGAUUUUUACCUCUCAGUAUUUUCACCCUCCCACAUUGAGUAGGGUUGGCCCAUGUAACAGGAUAUUGUGGAAUUAACAGUGUGUAACCCAGGGUUAGAUCAUAAAAGUUGCAUCUUCCACCUUGCUCUCUCUUGGAUGACUCACUCUAGGGGAAGCCAGCUGUUAUGUCAUGAGGACACAUAACCAGAACUGUGAGGAGAUCAGGUGUUGAGGACUGAGGCCUCCUGACUACAGCCAGCAUCAAUUUGCCAGCCAUAUGAGUAGUCCCCCUGGGAAAGUGAAUGUCUCAGCCCCAGUCGAGCCUUCAGAUGACUGUAACCCUGGCUGACAUGUUGACUGAAACCUCAUGCAAAACUUUGAGCCAGAGCUACCCAUUUAAGCCACUCUCAAAUGCCUAACCCACAGAAACUGUGUGAGAUAAUAAAUAUUUAAUGCCAUUUGAAGCCACUAAGUUCUGGAGUUAACUGUUAUGCAGCAACAGAAAACUAAUAUAUUCCCCAAUCAGUAUGCAAAAUAGCAUAAGAAUUACUGAAUUUAUUUCUUAAUUUUCAACAUCAAAUUUCAUUUUCUUCUCCUUUUCUCACAUAAAGCUGGUAGCCUUUGAGAUUAUAUCCCUAGGACACAGAAGCCAUUGGGUGUGUAAAUCAGGAUUAAAACUAAGUAAUUUUUUUCUGAAAUUUUAUAAAAUGUAGUAAUGGGUAGACAGGAAAAGAGCUUAUUGUUAAUACACUAAGUAGCAAAUAUUUUCUCAGGCAAAAUGCCAGGCACUUGAAACUUAUCACAGGACUAAUAUAUUCUUUGGAAAAUAAAGCUAAUGAAAACAUAAUAGUUAAAAUGACUCUUUCACAGCCAUCCCAGUCAGCUCUGCAAAAUGGCUUUUAAUUAAUGAAGGAACUAUGCUGUGUCUAUCAGUUAACAAACACUCCAAUAUGAUAAAGAAAGAUAAGAGUUGCCUGUUACUGAAAUAUUUUUUUGUUUUAAACUAAAAGGAAUUAAUCUAAUUUCUUGCUGUUUAUAAUGGCUUAAAGUUUCAUUGAACAAAGAAUGUUCCAACAAAACUUACUCUAUACUUUUUUUUUUUUUUUUUUUUUUUUUUUUGCGGUACGCGGGCCUCUCACUGUUGUGGCCUCUCCCGUUGCGGAGCACAGGCUCCGGACGCGCAGGCUCAGCGGCCAUGGCUCACGGGCCCAGCCGCUCCGCGGCAUGUGGGAUCUUCACGGACCGGGGCACGAACCCGUGUCCCCUGCAUCGGCAGGCGGACUCUCAACCACUGCGCCACCAGGGAAGCCCAAAACUUACUCUAUACUUUUUUCACUGAGUUUAUUUUUAAUUAAGGCUCCCUUCUGAAUUGUGCACCCAUGUCUGGUAUCAGAGACCAAAGAAUGGAAGCAAGAAGCAAGGACAUAGAGAAGUAAACCUAGAAUUGGGAAGCGCUUCAGAUUUCAUCUUUCAAGAGAGAGAAGUAACAAACCUGCACCCAGAGAAGGAAGUGGAGGAUGUUUUGGUGGUGAUGAGGUUAUGUUCUUAGGCUCCCUAGAAUCCUUGCUGCUCCCUGGAAAUGCUGUCCUUUCAUGCCACAUGUCUUCCUCAUGCUGUGUCUGAGCCUGGAAGGUCUGUCUCCUUGUCCACACAGCAAACUCAUGGUCUCCCUUCAGAGACAGAUCUCCUCUUCUGUUCCCUGACACAUCUAUCCUGGGUAACCUGCAUUGACUAACAGCUGUAACAGAGGUACGUAGGCAUUGUUGCUGUCUUGUGCAGGAACACUGUCUAGUGCACUCUGGAAUCCCUAAUGCCUAGCACAGGGACUGACACGGUCAUUUGCUGGAGGAAGGAAUCUCUGGCCCGUAUUAGACUGGACCAGGGCCAUUCACCGUUCAUCUCUGUAUUUCAGAAAAAUACAGAGUGGCCCAGAGUGCACUGAAUACAUGUUUAAUGACUAGACUUGAGGUAAAUGGUAUGGGAAACUAUUAUUCUUAGCUUGUAAGAUUCUUAGUUUGACACAUAGCCGUCUAAAACUUUUCUCCACUUUACACGUAGUUGUGGCCAAAUGACCAAGUUCUGGCCAAUGAAAUGUGAGCAGAAGUGUCAUGUGGCAGCUUCUAGGAACUUUCAUCAAGAGAAGGAUGACAUAUGCCCUUUGACUCUUCUUUCGGUCCUGUCUCCCAUCGUCCUGUCUGGAACAUGGAUGCCUCUAGUCAUGCAGCGUCAAAAUCCCAGUGCGGUAUCCUGGGGCUAGUGAUGGCAGGACACUAUUGACACCCCCAGCCUGGGACAAAAGAAAUGAGUGGUCAUUGGCAUCUUGAAGAAGAGGGUUGUGUGGAGAGGGCCAUUCAUCAAGAGCCAUAUCAGGGAGAGCAUCAGUCAGCCUGCAGGGAGAUAGCUAAGGGAGUAAAUAUCUGACCUCACUUUCCUCCAUCCUCAAGUCAAUGUUCCCCAUAAACUGAACCAAGUGGAAAUUUUAAGGCAAGGGAACCCAUUGAUGUGGGGACUCCAAGGGCACAGCAGGAGGAAGAGGGUGGAGAGAGGAUUUGUCUGGGUAAACAGAAGAUAUUCAGCACACUUGGGUAGACUUGUUUUCUCAUUUUAUUUAUUUAUUUAUUUAUAAAAUAAUAUUUGGAAUUUAUUUAUUUAUUUUUGGCUGCAUUGGGUCUUCUUUGCUGUGCACAGGCUUUCUCUAGUUGCAGCGAGUGGGGGCUACUCUUUGUUAUGGUGCACGGGCUUCUUAUUGCGGUGGCUUCUCUUGUUGUGGAGCACGGGCUCUAGGCGCGUGGGCUUCAGUAGUUGUGGCACAA